rnacentral:rRNA from 1 species
ACAAAAAGUAAGUAAGGGCACAUGGCGGAUGCCUUGGCUCUCGGAGGCGAUGAAGGACGUGAUAAGCUGCGAUAAGCUGCGGGUAGGUGCAAAUGACCUUUGAUCCGCGGAUUUCCGAAUGGGACAACCCGGUACUUUGAAGAAGUAUCAUCCUGCAUUGCAGGAGGCUAACGCAGGGAACUGAAACAUCUUAGUACCUGCAGGAAAAGAAAAUAAACAAUGAUUCCCCCAGUAGUGGCGAGCGAACGGGGAAUAGCCCAAACCAUCCAUGUUACGGCAUGGGUGGGGUUGUAGGACCACGCCGUGGCAAGAAAGUUGGUGAGCAGAAUGUUCUGGAAAGUACAGCCAUAGAGCAUGACAGCUGCGUAUGCGAAGCCAACCGAAGCCUAGUGGUAUCCUGAGUAGCGCGGAGCACGAGGAAUUCUGCGUGAAUCUGCCGGGACCAUCCGGUAAGGCUAAAUACUCCCGAGAGACCGAUAGUGAACCAGUACUGUGAAGGAAAGGUGAAAAGCACUUCGAACAGAAGAGUGAAAUAGUUCCUGAAACCAUGUGCCUACAAGCGGUCGGAGCACCUUUUGGUGUGACGGCGUGCCUUUUGCAUAAUGAACCUACGAGUUACUUUUUCCGGCGAGGUUAAGGAUUUCAGAUCUGCAGCCGAAGCGAAAGCGAGUCUGAACAGGGCGUAUAGUCGGAAGGAGUAGACGCGAAACCAAGUGAUCUACCCUUGGGCAGGUUGAAGGAUGGGUAACACCAUCUGGAGGACCGAACCAAUAAGCGUUGAAAAGCUUCUGGAUGACCUGAGGGUGGGGGUGAAAGGCUAAUCAAACUUGGAGAUAGCUCGUACUCCCCGAAAUGCAUUUAGG